UUUCAAUGAAAACAGUGUGUUC
rnacentral:piRNA from 1 species